GAUGAACGCUGGCGGCGUGCCUAAUACAUGCAAGUCGAGCGAACAGACGAGGAGCUUGCUCCUCUGACGUUAGCGGCGGACGGGUGAGUAACACGUGGAUAACCUACCUAUAAGACUGGGAUAACUUCGGGAAACCGGAGCUAAUACCGGAUAAUAUAUUGAACCGCAUGGUUCAAUAGUGAAAGACGGUUUUGCUGUCACUUAUCUAUGGAUCCCCGCCGCAUUAGCUAGUUGGUAAGGUAACGGCUUACCAAGGCAACGAUGCGUAGCCGACCUGAGAGGGUGAUCGGCCACACUGGAACUGAGACACGGUCCAGACUCCUACGGGAGGCAGCAGUAGGGAAUCUUCCGCAAUGGGCGAAAGCCUGACGGAGCAACGCCGCGUGAGUGAUGAAGGUCUUCGGAUCGUAAAACUCUGUUAUUAGGGAAGAACAAAUGUGUAAGUAACUAUGCACGUCUUGACGGUACCUAAUCAGAAAGCCACGGCUAACUACGUG
rnacentral:rRNA from 1 species